UUCUUGAAAACUAAAAAAUUUGGCGGUAUCUUAGUCUUUUCAGAGGAACCUGCCCUGUUAUUGAUGGUCCACGAUUUAUUCAACUUGCUUUAUAUUAGUUUGUAUAUCGCCGUAGAUUGAAUAUUUUAUAAGAAUAUUAAUAUUCAUAAUUUUUUUUGAAAGGAAUUCAGGUCAAGGUGUAGCUUAUAAGUGAGAAGAGGUGGGUUACAAUAAAUAUAUUUAUGGAUUGAUUUAUUAAAUUAUUUUAUGAAAUUGGAUUUGAUGGUAAUUUUGACUAAAUAAUCAAAAUGAUUUUGGCUCUAGGGUAUGUACAUAUCGCCCGUCGCUUUCACUUUAAAGUGGAAUAAGUCGUAACAUAGUAGGUGUAUUGGAAAAUGCGCCUAGAAUAAUCAAAUUAGAGCUUGAUUUAAAGCAUUUUAGUUACAUUAAAAAGUUUAUUGUUAGAUUCAAUAUAGUUUGAAUUUAAUAAAUUAUUUAAUUUAUUAGUUUAAUUAAAAUUUAAAAUAAGUAAAUUUAAUUUUUAUUAUAUCUUAUGAACAAAUUUAUUUAAUUAUAGAUUAUUAGUAUUGUGAAAGAAAUAAAUAAAAUUUUUAUAAGAAAAAUUUAAUUUUUGUACCUGGGUA
rnacentral:rRNA from 1 species